rnacentral:rRNA from 1 species
CCUACGGGUGGCAGCAGUGGGGAAUAUUGCGCAAUGGGGGAAACCCUGACGCAGCAACGCCGCGUGAGUGAAGACGUAUCUCGGUAUGUAAAGCUCUAUCAGCGGGGAAGAAGGAAGACGGUACCAGACUAAGAAGCCCCGGUUAACUACGUGCCAGCAGCCGCGGUAAUACGUAGGGGGCGAGAGUUAUCCGGAUUUACUGGGUGUAAAGGGAGCGUAGAAGGCGUCGCAAGUCUGAAGUGAAAGCCCGUGGCUCAACCCGGGAACCGCUUUGGAAACUGCGUGGCUGGAGUGCUGGAGAGGUAAGCGGAAUUCCUGGUGUAGCGGUGAAAUGCGUAGAUAUCAGGAGGAACACCGGUGGCGAAGGCGGCUUACUGGACAGUGACUGACGUUGAGGCUCGAAAGCGUGGGGAGCGAACAGGAUUAGAUACCCUAGUAGUC